AAGAUACUGAACCUCAAAUUGCCCCCGAUGUAUCAUCGGUGUGUGGCGUUUGCAGUGAAUCUCAACCUCCUCAUUCAUUGGGUGAAGUAGGAGAACGCUCCUACAGCAAAAGAUGAUUAAAGGUUCAAGGAGGGUGUCAAACUCUUGGUUUCCUUGAGGAGCCUAGGGGUCACCCUGAAAUCUUUGAGGCCAUGCUCACUAAUGUACCGAAACCACUGGAGGCAAAAGACUUGUCCAAUUUGUUUUAAAUUGACUCCUCAGCCCCUGGAAGUAAAAAAACAUCUGGAAAAUCAGAACAUCUGUUUCUGGAGGGAUGGUGUAUUGAUGAUGAGGGUAUGAUAUUUUAAUAUCCUAUAUUUUUUUUUAAUGCCCUCUUGCUCUUUGAGGUACAUAUAAAUUACAUAAGUCUUUGUGUUUUUGGGUGGACCACUGGGCCAGGAGUUGGGGUGGGUAGGUCUGUCUGUCUGUCGAUUAUUUGUAUCACUUCUAUAUCAUUGUGCAAUCACAGUUGCGCUAAUAUGCCACAAGGUAGCGUUAGGUAUGUCGAACCGCUACUUGAAAAUAGUCUCACACAUCUAUUGGAAGAUUGUUUGGAACCUAUUUUUCAUUUUGGACCCAGACGAUGAUUCAGACACAGCAGUUGUAGGUGUAAAAUGUGAAUUUAUUAAGAAAGCAGUUUCAUGGAAGAUUGAGAGGAGCACUGGUAAUGGUAGGGGACAGGCAGGUGGAGGAGUAGAGGGAAUGGCGGAGUCCAGCUAGAGGUUAGUUGCAGCUGAAGAGAGGCUGGAGGAUAUGUGGAGGACAUGUGGGUGGCAAUGGCUGGGCAGUAGAUCUGGCACAAGAGGCAAGCAGGUUAGCGAGAGGUAUUAAGAGUAACACAAGAAAAAGAACUCUAGAAUGUGUAUGGCCUCCACUGAACAAGCUGAACAGUCUGGCAAUGAAUGGAAGGCGAGUAGGAGUACUCGAACUGAGGGUUGUUGAGCUGAUUGGAAUCAGGAAUUGAUGUCUGCAGUCUUGAUUUAACAUACAGGCCAAUUACUUAAAAGGCACAUGUUUCUGUCUGUGCCAUACGCUGUUGGGAUGCUGAACUUGGUACACCCUUCUGGUCAUGGUACUACUCCACCUGCGUACAGCUGCAAUAGGAUUUAUCUCGGUCAACACGUCAUGUACCCUGAAUUGUGUAACCAACAGCCCCUCAGCAUGCAAAAAUCCUCUGUCUUAAGAGUAAAUCAAAAACCUAACCAAAAAUAUUUGCUGCUAAUUCUAUUUGCAAGACAAAUUAAAACAACAUUUUUAUAGUUCAUGGGAACAUAUGAUGAUGAAGUCAAUGACCGUGAACUCUUGUAAUUUGUUGAAUGAGGUCCUCAUCUCUCACUGGCAGAAGUCUCAACCAAACAUGCCAGCUAUUUGCUUGUGUGUCUAACUCUAUUGCCCUAAAAUAUCAGUGGCUAGUCCGCCACAGACUCCUGAAAAAUAAGCAACAAACAGGAUUAAACAAAAUACUUCUAAAUAUAUGUAAGUGCUAUGAGAAGGUAACCAGACUUCCUUGAAGUUCUUGAAGUCGUUUCGCCUCUCAUCCGAAAGGCUUCUUUGGUUCUACCUGAAUAGUGUGGAGUUCCAGGUAAAUAUCCUCUGGUGAGAUCAGCAACAAAAGUGAGUUGUUGUGGUCACAUGAGUCGUUUACCCUCCUGGUCAUCAUUUGAGUUGUUAGGAUGACAUGGGUCAAGGUGUGGAUGGGUGCUAACACCUUGAGGGUCGUUAGGGUGACAAGUGAGUCGUUGACCCCCCAUGCCAUCAUGUGAGUUGUUGAGGUUACAUGAGUCCUGGUGUGGAUGGGUGUUCAGCUUUCUGGGGAGUGAUGUUAGAACUGCAUUGUCGGUGGCUGACAGUGGGUGUCUCAGACCACUUCCUCUGUUUAGUGACGGUUGUUCCACAUUGACAAAAAUGGCUUCUUUCACUCCUCUUUCAAACCAUCGGUCUUCUCUGGCCAAAAUGUGUACAUCACUGUCCUGAAAAGAGUGUCCUUUGUCCUUAAGAUGCAGGUGGACUGCUGAGUCCUGACCUGAGGAAGUGGCUCUCCUAUGUUGUGCCCUGCACUUAUGAAGUGGUUGUUUAGUUUCCCCAAUGUACAAGUCUGUGCAUUCCUCGCCUCAUUGGACUGCAUAAAUUACAUUGUUCUGCUUGUGCCUGGGUAUUUUGUCCUUAGGGUGGACACGUUUUUGUGUGUUACUGAGCUUGAAAAGCACAGGGAUGUUAUGUUAGUAGAGCAUCCUCCUGAGUUUUUCAGACAAUCCAGCAACGUAGGGAAUGACAAUGCUGUUUUGUUUAUUGCAGUUUUCUUCUUUGUCUGUUCUGCCUCUUUUUGUGGUUUGACAAAGGCCCAGUUGGGAUAACCACAAGUUCUAAGUGCUUCCUUGAUGUGUUAAUGUUCCUUCUCUUUCCCCUCUGACCUUGAGGGAACAUUUUGAGCCCAAUGGUGUAGGGUUCUGAUGACCCCCAGUUUGUGCUCCAGUGGGUGGUGAGAGUCAAACAGUAGGUAUUGAACUGUGCACAUCAUGUUUUCAGAGUGGCUAGGCCUAACUGAAGGGUUCAUGUAAACGUAUAGUGUAAAAAGUGUAAUUACUUUUGAAAAGUACUUGUACAUUACCAAACAGAAAACCUCUUGGUAACAUGCUGUAAUCAACCACCUAGCAUGCAAAUUAAGCAUAAUGUACAUUUUCAUCACUUUAAAUGAAUAAAUUCAACAAUAUAAUCAUGUUACUUUCAACACAUUGUUGUUCUUGAUUACUCAUUGUCCUGUUUCAUUUAGUGCUGUUCAUGUGUUAAUUUUACCAAACUGUAUUUUAUAGGAAGUAGAAGUGGAUUCUGUCAGAUGAAAUGUAAAAGGCAUUUUAAUUUAAAAAGGUUAUAGUAAGUAUUGAGUUUGCAUUAACAGCAUAAUGCUGUUACUUAUGGUGAUAUUACCCAAAUUCUCGAAUUCACUAGUUAUUUUACAAAGACAGUAAUGAAGUUUUAUUUAACAAGCUAGAUUAGCACAUCCAGUUUAGGAUACAUAAACCCCUGGUUAAAAAGUUUUUGACUCGCUAAUCCAACACUUACCUGAACAUACUCGACCAACAGAGAAGGCCACUGGGGCAUCUUGUUGCAAAUGAAAAAUAAUUUCUCUGAUCCCCAAAAGGCUAUCUCAUAAUUCAUUUGCCGUCUCUGUAGAAAAUUGGUCAGCAUGGCGCAUAGUUACCUCUGACCGCAUACACCUAGUUUAUAUACCUGUUAAAUGACAAAACAUUUGGGCAGGAUUUUAAUAAUCACUUGUUCCACCAUGUUCAACUUCUUAAACUCCAAAAAAAAAAUAUUGCGCCAGUGUUUCCACCAGAAAUCAUACGUUUUCAAAAAGCCUUACCAUUUGUUGAAUCGCCAAAACAUAGGCAUAACCGUCUUGAAAGUCAACCAAUGGCUUUGUGGUACUUUAAUGAUAUGUACCCUACAUAUCCAAAAUGGUUUUUCAGGAAAAAAAUUUGCAAAUUAGGGUGACAUAUCCAAAAUGGUUUGUUGAUAUGUUGGAUAUAUCAGAAAUUGCAACUGUUGAUAUCUGAAAUGGGAAAUUACAUUUCCACCUGUCACAAUCCUUUUUCAACAUGUGAAAAUUCAAUUAGAUAUCUGUAAUCAUUAUUCUUGCUAGUGACAAACUGAUAUCAGACUUAUUGAUAUCAAUAAUUAAAUUAAGAUAUCUGUAAAUCAGAUUUUGACUACUUGAAAUUUAAUUUCUACAUGCAAAAAAAUAUAUUUUAACAUGUCAAAAUUGUUUUACAGAUAUCUUAAAGUAACAUUUCAACAUGUUAUAAUCACAUUUUGACAUGUUGAAAUGUAAUUUCUACUAGUGAAAACUAAAUCACUGCUAAUCGGCCCUACUUAUUAAAUGUUAAAAUGGCUUGUGAUACUUUUUCUCCUAUUACUGUAUUUGCUAGCUUCUGUUCUACUCAGCUGUAGAAAGCUUUGCCUAAGGAUAUAAGACAGGCAAACUUGGAAUCAUCUUUUAAAUCUCCUCUUAAAACUCACUUUUAUCUAAUGGCUUUUUCUUAACUGAUUAUAUUUGUUGUAAUUGUUUU